rnacentral:lncRNA from 1 species
CUUGGGGCUGAGGUGUGGGUAUCAGCGUGGUGAGGCUAAGCCAGGGACCCCACUGUCUCUGCAUUUCUGUCUUAACUGAGAGGGCAUCACAUUGUCACCUUAUUCUCACCCCUUGGAGAAUAAUCCCAUUUCCUUGUAAGGUAGAUGAAGGCGGAGAUAUAGAAGAUACAGAGACAGCGAGGUGGCUGAACCUGUUGAGAAACAAAUCAGGCAGGUGCGGUGGCUUGCACCUGUAAUCCCAACAUUUUGGGAGGCUGAGGUGGGAGGAUCACUUGAGCCCAGCAGUUCAAGACCAGCCUGAGCAACAUAGCAAGAUCCUGUCUCUACAAAAAAAAAAAAAAAAAAAAAAAAUUAAAAAUUAGCUGGGUAUGGUGGUACGCACUUGUAGUCCCGGCUACUGGAGAGGCUGAGGCGGGAAGAUUGCUUGAGCCGGGGAGGUCGAGAGUGCAGUGAGCCAUGAUCAUGCCACUGCACUCCAGAGUGAACCCUGUCAAAAAAAAAAAAAAAAAAAAAGACACAAAUGGAUAAACUCACAGCCUAGCUCCUCUGGCUGUGGGCCCUGCAGAUAGUUUUCUCCCCUUGUGAGUCCCCCUCCUCACUAGGCUGAGGAAAAGACAUGGAGUGUUAAGUCCCCACAGAGGGAAUGGGGACGUUUAGGGAAUCUGAUCAAGCCUGGAGACUUUCGUGCGUGUGCCAAGGACAUGUCCUUGCGAUGCAGUGGCCCUUGCUUAACUAACACAUCAAGGAGCCCUUUUCCCUUCCCCAAAUCAGGGCACUUUAAGGGGCCUGUUAAUGCUUCUUCCAUAAUGCAUUUCCUUCCCACAUCUUUAUUUCAGGCUCUUUCUUGCUGUGACCUCCUUAUCCCAACUCCUGCUGACCUUGGAGACCUGAAGAGUUACUUUCCUUACAAUCCUGAACUUCCAACUCCAAACCUAACCCUGCAUGCAGGUCACUGUCUUCGUGGAAAUCUACAGGUGGGAGGCCCUGCAGCUAGACAGCCCUUCCCCGUUGAGAAGAGGGGAGGCAAGGGAAAGGCUGAAAAAUCCGCCUAGAAGCCCAAGUGAGCAGAGUCGGAGCUAGGACCCGAAGAGGCCGAUAGAUGGCGCUCAUGGCCCAACACAGCUCCAGCAGCCCGAGGAAACCAAAGGAAAACAAGUGAGCAGGUUAACCCCUUCCCUCCUGGGCUCAGGACAGAGUUGCUGGCUGGUGGGUAUGCAGGGAGCACUGCCCCAGGCCCGGUGCCUCAACUCUCUAGGCUCUUACCCAGGCGAUAAUCUGGGUCAUCUUCUGUUCCUGCCCAACAAGGCUUUACCCAUAAAUCAUGGUCAGCAGCCUCCUGAAGACUUCCCAGAAGACAUGAAGACUAAUAAAUGGAAGACACUGGUUGGGAGAGCUGCACCCAAGCCCAUGUUUCGUCUCUUGGGCUCUAUCUCUUGAAAGCCUCAGGGUCUCUGUUUCUAAGCACCCCUACUUCAGGAGAG